UCUUGAUCGAAGCCCCAGUAAACGGCGGCCGUAACUAUAACGGUCCUAAGGUAGCGAAAUUCCUUGUCGGGUAAGUUCCGACCUGCACGAAUGGCGUAACGACAGCGGCGCUGUCUCCACCCGAGACUCAGUGAAAUUGAAAUCGCUGUGAAGAUGCAGCGUUCCCGUGGCAAGACGGAAAGACCCCGUGAACCUUUACUAUAGCUUUACACUGAACGUUGAGUUCGUCUGUGUAGGAUAGGUGGGAGGCUAUGAAACUGUGGCGCUAGCUGCAGCGGAGCCAUCCUUGAAAUACCACCCUGUCGUGCUUGACGUUCUAACCUGGGCCCAUUAUCUGGGUCGGGGACCGUGUAUGGUGGGUAGUUUGACUGGGGCGGUCUCCUCCUAAAGAGUAACGGAGGAGCUCGAAGGUACGCUCAGCGCGGUCGGACAUCGCGCACUGUGUGCAAAGGCAUAAGCGUGCUUGACUGCAAGAUCGACGGAUCAAGCAGGUAGGAAACUAGGACUUAGUGAUC
rnacentral:rRNA from 1 species